AACGCACAUUGCGGCCAUAGGUAUUCCUUUGGCCAUGCCUGUUCGAGCGUCAUUUACACCCUCAAGCCUAGCUUGGUGUUGGGCGUCUGUCCCGCCGUUCUCGCGCGCGGACUCGCCUUAAAGUCAUUGGCGGCGGUCGUGCCGGCCCCCUCGCGCAGCACAUUUGCGCUUCUCGGAGGCCCGGCGGAUCCGCGCUCCAGCAAGACCUUUCACGACUUGACCUCGGAUCAGGUAGGGAUACCCGCUGAACUUAA
rnacentral:misc_RNA from 1 species